rnacentral:tRNA from 1 species
GUUUUAAUAGUUUAAUCAAAACAUUGGUUUUGUAAACCAAAAUUAAGAAAUUAAUUCUUUUAAAACU